GUGAAGACAUUCAAACUCCAAGUGGCUCAGAUACUUCUCUACAGGCAGGAUGUGAGCUGGGCUGGGAUAGCGUGCACCUUACUGAGGAAAUCAGUGGCUGCAGGCAUAUUACAUGCACAUCCGGCCAAGAGCGAUCAGGAGUGACCUGAACUGUGACAGAUUUUUUCCUUUCGUCAGCUGGCACGGCUUUGCUCACAGUUUCAAACGACCUUGGUGUGCUCCACAAAGCUUAUGAAAAAAGCUGGAGAGAGUGCACACUGGAAAGCUUUUUAAGAGCCACCACUCGUCAGGCAAGAAGUGCGGCAGAGUCAGCAGCAGCUAACCCGAAGGACACGGAGAAGGAGGCCGUGUCCUUUCACCUGGCCUAUGACACUGCCGUGGCCAGACUGCGCAGAGUACCGACGCCACAGGCUGUAGCCGCCACGGCUACAUUGCUGGACUCC
ensembl:lncRNA